ACUCCUACGGGAGGCAGCAGUGGGGAAUAUUGCACAAUGGGCGCAAGCCUGAUGCAGCCAUGCCGCGUGUAUGAAGAAGGCCUUCGGGUUGUAAAGUACUUUCAGCAGUGAGGAAGGCAGGUACGUUAAUAGCGUGCUUGUUUGACGUUAGCUGCAGAAGAAGCACCGGCUAACUCCGUGCCAGCAGCCGCGGUAAUACGGAGGGUGCGAGCGUUAAUCGGAAUUACUGGGCGUAAAGCGCAUGCAGGUGGUUUGUUAAGUCAGAUGUGAAAGCCCGGGGCUCAACCUCGGAAUUGCAUUUGAAACUGGCAGACUAGAGUACUGUAGAGGGGGGUAGAAUUUCAGGUGUAGCGGUGAAAUGCGUAGAGAUCUGAAGGAAUACCAGUGGCG
rnacentral:rRNA from 1 species